GCAUAUCAAUAAGCGGAGGAAAAGAAACUAACAAGGAUUCCCCUAGUAACUGCGAGUGAAGCGGGAAAAGCUCAAAUUUAAAAUCUGGCGGCUUUGGUCGUCCGAGUUGUAUUCUAGAGAAGUGUUUUCCGCGUUGGACCGUGUAUAAGUCUCUUGGAAUAGAGCGUCAUAGAGGGUGAGAAUCCCGUCUUUGACACGGACUACCAAUGCUUUGUGAUACACUCUCAAAGAGUCGAGUUGUUUGGGAAUGCAGCUCAAAAUGGGUGGUAAAUUCCAUCUAAAGCUAAAUAUUGGCGAGAGACCGAUAGCGAACAAGUACCGUGAGGGAAAGAUGAAAAGCACUUUGGAAAGAGAGUUAAACAGUACGUGAAAUUGCUGAAAGGGAAACGCUUGAAGUCAGUCGCGUUAGCUAGAACUCAACCAGGCUUGCUUGGCGUAUUUUCUAGUUAACGGGCCAGCAUCAGUUUUGACCGCAGGAAAAGGGCCAGGGAAAUGUGGCAUCUUCGGAUGUGUUAUAGUCUCUGGUCGUAUACUGUGAUUGGGACUGAGGACCGCAGCACGCGCAAGCUGUGCUUAGGAUGCUGGCGUAAUGGCUUUAAACGACCCGUCUUGAAACACGGACCAAGGAGUCUAACAAACCUGCGAGUAUUUGGGUGGUAAACCCGAGUGCGCAAUGAAAGUGAAAGUUGGGAUCCCUGUCGUGGGGAGCACCGACGCCCGGACCAGACCUUCUGUGACGGAUCUGCGGUAGAGCAUGUUUGUUGGGACCCGAAAGAUGGUGAACUAUGCCUGAAUAGGGUGAAGCCAGAGGAAACUCUGGUGGAGGCUCGUAGCGAUUCUGACGUGCAAAUCGAUCGUCAAAUUUGGGUAUAGGGGCGAAAGACUAAUCGAACCAUCUAGUAGCUGGUUCCUGCCGAAGUU
rnacentral:rRNA from 1 species